rnacentral:rRNA from 1 species
CAGUCGCCGCGGUAAUACGUAGGGUGCGAGCGUUAAUCGGAAUUACUGGGCGUAAAGCGGGCGCAGACGGUUACUUAAGCAGGAUGUGAAAUCCCCGGGCUCAACCUGGGAACUGCGUUCUGAACUGGGUAACUAGAGUGUGUCAGAGGGAGGUAGAAUUCCACGUGUAGCAGUGAAAUGCGUAGAGAUGUGGAGGAAUACCGAUGGCGAAGGCAGCCUCCUGGGAUAACACUGACGUUUAUGCCCGAAAGCGUGGGUAGCAAACAGGAUUAGAUACCCCCGUAGUCCCUGUCUCUUAUAC